rnacentral:lncRNA from 1 species
GGACACACAGAUACAUAGGGACCCAGAGGCAGUCAUAUGGGUCUCCACACACUUGCCUGUCUCUGUUCCAGAGGCUGUGCCAGAAGCUGGGAGGGGCAGACAUCUUCAGCUCUCCACAUUAGCUCCGAAUUUAAAGAAUCUAUUCCUACUCAGCGUGCACACACCUUACCCCUUUCCCUCAAGAUGGCAAAGAGGACUCCAGAGCUGCUCCAUCCUCCCAUUCUUCAGCAGAGCAUGGAUGCUCAGAGGAAAGGGCCCUCCUCAAAUGACUGCAGCCAGCAGACUUCUUCUAUGCCACUUUAACAACCCAUUCCCACGGCAGCCUCGCCAUCUCCCUCCCAAGACAACAACCUCAGUGAUAUAGCAAAACUUUUAUUCACAAGAAAACUCGAAAACAAAAUCACAACCCAG